GGGGACGGGCCGGCUGGAACAGGUUGUGUUGAUGAAUUGUUAAUGAGUUUGUCAUUCACAAAAACGGAAAGGAAUUUCCGCUCCGGAUAAGCUCCAGUGCAAACAAGCUGCAACAGCGGGCUCGGCGGGAGGAAGGAGAAAGAAGAGGAGGCGGCGGCGGAGGAGGAGCAGGGCACACAAACCAGGGCACUUCAGUUGUCUCAUGUUUCCUUCUGUUGAGAGUUCACACUUCGCCUCGGAACUUUUGCGCACAAAUGGUGCAAUUAGCAGGCACAAAAGCCCUUGUUCGCGACGCCUGUGCGCGCAAGCUAGCUUUAGGGAAACUUGUGCUGACUUUUUCCCUUUUUAUUCCCUUUAAACUCAUUUGGACUGGAGUUCACUUUAACCGCCCCCUUCCCCCUUAGGCAGUGUGUGGCAUUUGUUUGCCAGUUUAAAAAGCCCAGUUCUGUUUGCUCUGAUGUUCUUUUAGCCGAGGCUGUGUUGGGGCUGGUGAACUGCCUGGGCUUUAGUGACCGAUGAGGUGUUAAAUGCUAAUCCAACAUCUUUUGAAACAAACCAGGAUUUUGUUGAAACAUUUUUAAGCAAGCAAAGAAACAUGUUUGGUUGUCCAGAUAAUAGGUAGCAAGCUUUUUAAAAAAUAGCUUUUUAAUUAAUUAAUUUUUUUUUAAACAGUGAAGGCUGCAGAAACAAACUCGUUGGGCAGUCCAAUGCUUUUAUUCCUCUGCGACGGCCUGGGGCGUUAGGAGCCAUUGUUCCGGGGACCCAAGCUCCCCCCGCCGCCGUCACCCACUGCGCGCUGGGGGUUCGCGCUCGUUAAUCAUUUCUGGGCAGCGAGCUCAGCUUCCAACAGAGGAACCGGCUAGGACGGGCUGCCUCGGCGAGGUGCACCUGGGCGCGCAGAACCGGGCCGGCUGCCCCACCAUCCGCUUGGGUCAGUCCUCCCGCAAGGCCUGAACCCUGCGGGGGCUCACAGGCUUGGCGACUGAUUACUGUAGACCGAGAGGCAUGUCAAAGGGGAGACUUCCACCCCACUCCCACUUUCCGAGACGGGUUACCCACUUCCCUGCUGCAGCAGCAGCCCCCUCCUCUGCGGGUCGCUGGGUACUGGCGGAGCACCGCCCGCACCUGCGCGUUGCGCUUCUCAUUAGUACCGGCGGCCUCCGCGCUCAGCCCGUGAGGGGCGUCGGGCGACCCCGGAGGACGGACGCUGGGCCGAGAGCGGGAUUUGGGCUUUUGAGCGGCCUAAGGCGGGUGAGGGGGGAGGAGGAGUGCCUGCCGGGAGCCCCUGCUCCAGAGAAGAGCUGGGAGUGCUGGGGAACGUGUCUGCCGCGCUGCAGAGAAAGCAGGUGCCUCAAAAAGACAGCAGCUUCUGUCUGAACAGCAGGAACUGUGGAACCCGAGGGGCCCAAAGGACUAACAGUUGGAAACUCAGGUCGACAGAAAUGGCUGUAUGUAAACUCUGAGCGAGCGCAUUAGUCUGGCAAGAGCAGAAGAGGAGAGAAGGGCGGAAGUCAGGGCAAGGAUUCUGGACUUCUCAGCUGGAGACGGUCGUACUCGCCAUCAUGCUUGGCUUCUCACCAUCAUGCGCUAGCAUCACACCAAUCUUAUGCUAUGCUGGUGCUCUGCUCGGCUCAGGAGAUGCCAAGGCACAUUUGGCAAGAAGCUUGGAGGCUAUUUGGGUGAGAUAUGUGUUAAGAAAAACAGGACAAGACAGUCAGGAGCCAGGAAGGGCUUCACAGAGAAGAUGCUUUGUGAACUGGAUCCUGAAGAAUGAACAGCCUGAGGAGUUUGAGCUUGAGAAUUUCAGGUAACAAAAACAGCUUGCAAAAAGGGAUGACACUGUGGGAGAAAAAUCAGGGCUGGGAGCCACCAGGACUUUGGUGUGGGCGGCAUUUGGCCAUCUGCCUGGCGUCUUUGCCUGAAUUCAGGCUCAGCCCUGGGCUAAGACCAUGGGGGCCCACUGCAGCUCAGCCCCAUCCCAGGUAUUGGCCCAGGUCUGCUCUUAGGCAGAGGAAAUGUGAGCAGCUCACCUCACCCAUCCCUGGUAGGCUGGGCUCCGGGUUCUGCUCUGAGCUCUUGCUGCAUUUCCAGCUAUGGCUGCUUGGUCCUCUGGGGGUUGCUGUCCACCAGACACCUCUUGGCUCCCUCAGGUGGAAUACAGACUGAAGACCUCUUGUUGAAAAUUUCUGAUGACAACCAUGUGGCUAAACUGCCCCACCGCUGCGUAAAGAGGAAUACCCAUCUGCAACCUGUUUCCGCUGCCUGGCAAAACUGCCCCUGGAACCCUCCCAUGAACAAACCUGGUUUGGCUCACCUCUGAUUGGAGUCCUCAACUCUGUUCUGAUGAUUGCUAUUGAAAAACGCACUCGCUUGGUAUUGAAAGUAGCACCAAACAUAGGCUUUUGGGGAUACAAGUUAUGCAGUAUGCUUUAGUAAAUUCCCACAAGCAUUUGGGCCUAGAGACAGUGUCCAAAAAAAGCUCUCAGAGUAUCUGAGCCUUGGUAUGGGCCAGGCCUGGCUGUCCUGAUUGGCAUUUUCUGGCGUGUGUCAUUUUCCUUAACAUUGCUCACAAGACUGGGACACCAGUCAUAUGCUACCAGCCACCACUUCUCAAAAACAAACUUGGGAAUAAAGUCGCAAGAGGAAAUGAGGACCAUUUGGAAACUUGAGAGCCCACAUGUUCUCUAUGUGACUUUUUUUCUUUCAGGAAGGAUUUCAGAGUUUCAACCUGUUUUAAUGCUAGCCCAUCUGGCUGCUUUAUUAAUGAAGACGGCAACAUCUUCUCAUGCUAUCGUGUAAGGCAGUACUUUCCAAAAAAAUUGCAGAAAGAACUUUUGGAUUUGAUGUACCAUAAUUUGUCUUUUUCUUUUUUUUCCCCUUUGGAAAAAAAAAAAAAACCAACUGGAGUGCAUUUUCGGGAGAGUAUGUGCAUAGAAAUAUUCGCGACACCCAGCAAGCCCGGGUCUCCAGGAGCACAGCUACAAUCAGGACACUUCUGAAAAGAAGACUGAACACAGAUUGCUCGCCAGUUCCCCCACUGGAGGCUGAAUUCCAAAGCUUUUUGAAUUAUCAGGGCAAGGAUUUCCCUACCUGAUCGGCCCCAGGACUCCCAAAAGGAUUGUUAAAACCAAACCUGUGAAGAAUGAAUGAAAAUGGAAGAUGCUCUGUAUGCCCUUGAGGGGAACACGAUGAGGAGUUUUCUACUGAUCUCCUGAUGACUCCUCUUCAUUGGGCAAGAUAAUCAAAAGGAUUGGCUCCUAUUUCAAUUUGCUUCCAUAGGAUUUGGAAGCCUUCAGGAUCAUGAGAGCUGUACCUCUGAGACACACAAGCCACACUCUUCAGAUACUGAUUCAACACAGCAGGUCCAGACCCCAAAGACAAGCAGACAAGUGGACUGGAAGGCAGCACCACGUGAAACUGGAUGCCUGAUAUGGACCGAUGUAAGCUAUAAAAUGUAAUAUGUACUGUAUGACAUUCAUAUAAUACCAGUUCUUCCUAUUUUUCAAUGGAAGCCAGAAAUCUGGAUUUUCAUGUGAAAUUGUUUGCUUUUUAAACCUGGACACAUAAUUUUAAAAAAAAAUACUACAGAGGCCAAACAAAACACGUCUGCUGAAUGCCAGUCUGCAACUCUGGCUAAGCCAGCAGCCAACCUGAUCAACGGUAGUAGAUAACAGGGGGUACAGAGCAGGGGCUGGGAAGAGCUGCUUACAAGACGUUUUGGCUUUACAGCAACUGGAUUAUUCCAGUCCAUCUAAAACAUCAAAUGCUUAUAUCAACAGUGAAUAAAUGUAGGAUUUUAUCACCUCUCGCUUUUUACAGCGACGGUGUAACUACUUCCCAUUGCUGAUUCCGGAACACCCUUGCGUGUGAGCUGAGCUGGGAUGUGCUCUCUUGAAUAAGCGUGUACUGUAUCGGAAAUAACUAAGUUGGGAGCCUGGUGCCCACAACUCCUUUCGUGUACGCGUUUCUCCUGAUCAUGAUUUCUAUGGUUCAAAAUCAAGUUCUGUUUCUUUUGCCUUAAUCACUCCAUUUAAGCACAAAGUGGAAACGAAAAUGAAGAAGACAGGCGUUCCCUGAGUGAGAACUGCCACCUCAAGCGGUUUUGUCUCUUCUCUCCCUGUGUCACAUCUUUAAUCUCUUCUUUUCAGAGAAAGAAUGAUCAACAUCACCAGACACUGCGGGUCUUUGCCCUCAGCAAUUCUGAGUCUUACUUGCUGAAAGAGGAUUUAACAGCUUUGAACUUUUUAUGUGAUUUUUGCCUUCGACACAGUUGUUGUUAGAGUUCUACAAAAGCGACAGCGCCCUGCAAGAACGCCGGGUUUCUAAAUGAUUCAUCUCCUCGCAGACCUUGACAUUCGGUCCAGGUGUAGGAAUCAACAGUGAAUAGCCCUCGGGUCCCAUCCUCGGGUCUUGGAAAGGCUUCAGUGAAAUUCUGUAGCAAAAGCUCAGGCGCUUCCCCUGAGUUUCUCUUUGUUCUGCUAACUUUUUAUCCUUGAAAAGCAAAGGGAUUUCCUUUGGGGAUUAAGCAGAGGAAACAACCUAAUAAGAUAGCGGCUGUGUUUCGUUAGAAUUACAAGAUGCAAAAGUAUUUCUGAAGUCAACUCAACAAGAAGCCCUUUGGCCCAGUCGCGGCGGGGUCCCCCUGUGUAUUCAGCAGAGAGCUCCCCGAGUCCUUACCCCACUGACGUGCUUCUCCUUCUCUGUCCUCCUGGCCCCUGGAGUAUCUUGGACAAACAGUAAUGGUUUCUUGAGUAAGGCAGAGUGGCGUCUCAUCUGAAUGUGAUACAUACCAAAUUUUUUUUUCUUUUCAAGAGCUUUUACAUGUGUCAUCUUGCUAACACGAAAUCAUUUUGAAGUAAAUAUUUAGAAGUGGAUAGAUGCCAUUCUCAUCCUGCCAGCUCCUGGUUUUGUGUCACUUUUGGAACAGAGGUAGAAGAAUGAGACGGGUGAUUAAUUUUCUUAAUGAGAGCUCUUAGAAACUACUGUUCACAGAAUGAGACGGGAGGAAAGAAUUUCCUGGUCACAGACUUCAGACUUGUCCCAGGCACACGUCUGCUUCCAAACCAGGAGUCUGCAGAAGGAUUAGGGCAUGGCAGUAAAAAGAACUGUGUCAAAGCAGCUCCAUAAAAGCCAGCCUGACGUUCCAUCUCCUGUCAACACCACGCUAGAUUAAAAGUGCAUACUGAGCUGCUAUUCAAGAGCCACUAAAAGAAAACUCUCAAAAUAAACAGUAACAUAAAUCACAUUUCCAUUAGAUUUCUCCAAUUUUCACAUUCUGACUUAUGGCUGAUACUUACUUUAAAAAUGUUCAAUGGUAACCUAAAUGACCAAAUUUUAAGUUAACCAUGUUUUUAUUAACUCCUUUUGAAGCAAAAACAAGUUUUUUUUUCUUCUGGUUAAUGAUUCACUUAAAAAUGUUCAAAACACCAACAGUUUUUCACAUUUCCUUAUACAGGUUUGUUGUAUUUUCCUUUUACUUGUUUUGAUCACUUUUUACAUUUUUAGGGAGAUGCUUGGUUUGUACUUUUAUUGUUUUGGCAGUAUCCCAUCUAAUUUGACAUAUGGCAUUUCUAUUUGUAUUUUAAAAUAUACUUCAGUACAUUUUGGCCCUCUGGCCAGAAUAUUAUUUAGUUGAGUUUUUUUUUUUUUCAUACUUUCUGUGUGAUUGAGUAUUUUAUUUUGUUAUUUCUAAUUUUUUGAUUUAUUCUCUGGAUAUAUAGAAUGCAGAGUUUAACUUAAACUGUGUGGUACAGAAUAUGGUCAAUUUUUACCUAAAAUACACUUGGGCACAAAACCAAGCUUGCUUGUAUUUCCAUGUAGUUUCUGGCACAUAGGUUAAAUCUGCCUUAUUAAUUUUAUAUCACUUUAUGUCGUGUGGAUUAAUUAAAUUCUACUUCCGAACUGUUGAUAUUCCUAAUUAUAUAUUAUAUAUUGCAUUUCUGCCGAUUUUUCCUAUUCAUAUACUUUUUGCUUUAUCAGUUUAGAAGUUUUAGAUGACUGAGCUGUUUUUCUUUACUGCUUUUGUUGUGAAAUCUACCUUAUUAUGAGAAUCUCAAAUCAGAGUCUUUAUCUUUAAUAGGAACAUGCCUGAGAUUUGACUCAAAAGAAAAGGCAAGAUUCUGAUAAGAUUUUGCAAAGAAAAAAGUAGUUAAACACACCCUCUCCACCCCUAUUAACCUCUGCCUCUUGGCAAGCCAGUGACCUAUUUUCCUAGUAAGACCAGGCUACCAUUGUGUUAUCUGGCUGAGUCAUAGUUGGGGCUUAUGGAAGACAGAAAACCUGGCAGUUACGCUGUGUUCCUAGAUUCAGUGUACAUUCAUAAAUCCUCUGGUGCAUGAAGUCUAAGACCUCAUGACUUGCUGGAGCAAAAUGUUGGGCACGCCAUCAGGGAAAAUGAAGCAUAUAGUGUAUUGAUGUAAUUCGACUUAAAUAUCUACUAUAGACCCAUCUGUUUUUAUCAUUAAAUUUGCUCAUGAGUUGAGCAUAAUUAUUUGUCAGUAACCUCCAAAUACUCUUUUUUUUUUUUUCUCAGCAGUCCAAUAUUUCUACCCAGGGACAGUAUAUCUUCUAAUCCUCUUGUGUGCUCAGGACACUCAAGAUGGCUGUUCUGUUGCUCUUUGUACAUCCCCUGCUCAACCAGCCCCUGCUUUACCUACAGCCCACUCACGUGAAGGUGCUUGCUUCCGGCCCGGCUAGUGAGUGUUCUAGUCCUUAGGCCAGAAUGGCUCCACCUGCAGUUUAUUAAAGGGCACUAGCUGCCCUCGUGAUGGUCGUUAACCUGAGAGGCUGAGGGAGAUGCCCCAGCUGCUGGUUUCCCUGGUAACUGAUGAGCCCGCCUUACGGCAGUUGCCCUAUAAAUGGGCACUCCCCUCCCCCACCCCGGCCCAAGGCGCGAAGAUGGCUGCCGCGUCCUGCGCGCGGCUCCACACCGCGCGAGUGUCACUCCAGGACGUCGCGGUUUGGGCAGUCGACAGUUUUGGCGACCAACUAACGGACCCAGAGCAGACUUCUCUCCUUCACCUGGACUCUACGAGGAUCUGAAAUCUGGUACCAGCAGGGGAGUCUGGUCCCCGUCCUACUCUUCAGAGUCCAGAUGAAUUUGGGUUGGUCAAAAGAUAAAUGAUGUAUACAAUAAAUUAUAUCAAAACCCACUGCCUAUGUCCCAUAUGCUGCUGCUAAUUAAGGUAAGUGUAUUCUUGCUGUGGAAAUUUUGUGGUUUGGGAGUUUCAUGAGAUCGUCUUUUUAACGCACAGGUAAGAAAGAAUAAUUUUUUUUAAACUGAAAGAAAUGCAAGUCAGAUCAUGAACUCAUUCUCUGCAUAUAAAAUGCUGUUUUAGAGGCAAGUGAAUUAUUUCAGAACCCCAAGGGUAUUGUUUACUAAAGGAAUACACUAAUUGUUUUAAGGAAUUGCCUGAACAUGAUCAAUUUGAAAUAACAAUGAAAUCAAGAGAUUUGGUUACCUUUGUACCAGGAAACUGACAUUUAAAAUAAUAUGGGGGAAAAUAUAGAGCCAUUUGAAUAUUUAUCACUUUAUUAGUGCAAUCAUAAAUAGUAAUGGUUUGAAUUAGUCCUCGACAUUGACUUGUGUGUUUAGGCCUUUAUUAUGCCUUUUCUGCCUUUCGUCCUUUGAUAUUGAAAUGAAAGUAUUUGAAAUCAAAUAUCAUGGCUAGAUAUCGCCAUGAUGUUUAGCACAUGGUUGUGUUGCAUGAAGCAUCUCGCACUACCUUCCUGCGUAUGCGCACAUGUGUUCAUUUCUCAUGCCCCUGCUUGUACUUUUCUACUCAACUUUUCUGUUGGAUGGCACUGAAAAGCUUUUGCUGAUUUUCAAGGCAGUCAUUCAGCUUAUCCUCUGUCAGAGUCAGUCGCUGCUCCAAGAUGGAAACAGUCUGCAAAAAGGAGGACAUAGUGAUCAAUGCCUGGUGCCUGGUGGUGAGGAUGAGGACGGCGAUCUCUGCAUAGGAGAACCUGUUUCAGAACUGGAAUGCCCACCCUUUUGCUAGGAGGUUGGCUCAGUCAUGAGCCCCAGAACCUGCCCUCCUUCCUCAGCCUACACGGGGCGAGGCACUGUCGAGCAGGAAAAGGAAAAACAAUGAUGCAUUUGAGGAAAAAGGAAUAAACGAUCAAGACUCUGAAGACAAUUCUCACGUCUGACCUAGAGCAUCAACGCCAGGGAAGAGGCUGCACGUGACCUGGGAUGCGGGGGUGCGGUGGGGAGGGAAUGCCAUAUACCUGGCCCAGGUGCUACUUAAACGGCAUCACUGGCCAUCCUGUCAGUCAGUCCACAAUGGACCAUACCUAUGUUAAUUAUCCCAGACAGCUGGAUACCUAGUUUACUUUGAAAAUAUGAUUGGCACCCAUUUCUGCACCCAGAAGGCGACAACAGCACCUCACAGAGGUGCCAGGAAGACUGAAAUACAGCAUGUAAAAUGCUUACGCAGCCUGGCACGUGGGACUUGAUGAAUCUCAGCUAUCCUAACGCCUUCAGCUCCUAAGCCAUUUGACCUGUACAGUGUAUACUAGUCUGGACUUUAAGGAUUAUGUACACCAGAUGCAGCUGUGUCUGUUCUAGCCUCAGAGGUUUGAGACUCAGGCUGGAUCCCUUGUCAGGUGAAAAGGGGAAAUGGGCCAUGGAGCUGGAAGAGGACAAACUAGGAAGACUGGUUUGGGAGAAGCCUCCACUGGGACAGUGCAGUGAGGACGUCAGAGCUGGCAUGGAGAGAAAAACUGCCUUUGAAGGAAAGAAGUGUCUGAUACGUACAAAGUCACCUCUAGCGCCACACUGCAACGUGGAAACUGAAUGACUUCUUCAGAGGAAACACUGACUCAGCAGAGCUGGAAGGACCGCCUUUGAUGUGUCCAUUUUAAUAUAGAGCUUCCAUUAAAUGACACCUGUAUCUCCUGACCAAGAACUGGAAGACCCUGAUGUUCUCUCUGCAAAGGCAAACUGGCGUCAGGACUAGUUUGUAGGUGAACAUUCUGAUAUUAAAGAAGGAUUCAAGAAAUAUCCGCAGACCUCCUCACCCUUCUCUGGUAGAGUUCUAACAGUGGUUUCUGUAGUCUUUGAUAGUAAAGAUAGAUGGAAAAGAUAGUGUCAAUAGUUUCCAAACUUUAAAGUGAGAUAUAUAUAUAUAUAUAUAUAUAUAUAAUGUUUUCAAUAUUCCUCUUCUAAAAUCAGUUUUCAUUGAGUGGUUCAUCCUCAACUACAGCAAAUUAUGGAAAUUACAAUUAAAAGAAGGGAAAAAAGGCUAAAAAUGAAUGGAGGAAAUUUUUUUUCUUUCAAUUAAACACUAUCUGUUUGAAGGAUCAGGUGUUCCACCACUAAAAAGCUUGUUAGGAUUAUUUUAAAAAAUGGAAAAUAACAAAUAUUGGUGAGAAUAUGGAGAAACUGGAACCUUCAUGCACUGCUGGUAGGAAUAUAAAAUGGUCAACUGCUAUGGAAACAGUUUGGCUACUCCUCCGGCAGUUAAAACAUAGACUUACAAUUCCACUCCUAACUAUAUAUCCAAAAGAACUGAAAGCAAGGACUUGAACAGAUAACUUACACCAGUAUUCACAGCAGCAUUACUCACAAGAGCCAAAAAAGAGAAACAAUCUGGUUCCCAUCAACAGAUAAAUGUAUAAACAAAAUGUGGUAUAUACAUAUAGUAGAGUAUUAUUUAACCAUAAAGAUAAAUGUAAUUCUGUUACAUGCUACAACAUGGAUGAACCUCAUGCUAAGUGAAAUGAGAAGACACAAAGGAAAAUACUGUAUGAUUCUUCUAAUAUGAGGUACCUGGAACAGGCAAAUUCAGAGAGGUUACUAUGAGCUGGCGGGGAGGGGAAAUGUGGAGUUUAUGCACUUGUUGCUUAAUGAGUAAAGAAUCUGAAAUGAUGAAAAAGAUCUCAAAAUAGUGCUGAUAGUUACACAACAUUGAGAAUACUUAAUGCAAGUGAACUGUACACUUAAAAAUGAUUGAAGUGGUAAAUUUUUCUUAUAUAUAUUUUACCACAAUAAAAAUAAAAAAGGCAAUGAAAAAUCUGAAAAUAGAAUUAAAACAAUCCAUCUAUUAUCAAAAAGAAUAAAAUGCUUAUGAAUACAUUUAACAAAGUACAAGAUUUGUAUAAUGAAAACUACAAACACACCAUCACUGAAAGUAAUUAAAGACGAUUUAAAUAAAUGGGAAGACUUAAUAUUAAGAUAGCCAUACUUCCCAAAUAGAUACAUACCGAUUGAAGGCAAUCCCUAUCAAAAUCUCAGCUGCCUUUUUAAAAGAAAUCGACAAGCUGGUCUUAAAAUGCAUACAGAAAUGCAAAGAACCAGGAAUAGCCAAAAUAAUAUUGAAGGACAAAGUUGGAGGACUAACAUGUCCCAAUUUCAAAAUUCUCUAAUAAACCACAGUAAUCAAGAUGGUGUGGUACUGACAUAAGGACAGACACACAGAUCAAUAGAAUAGAGCUGAGAGUCCAGAAAUAUGCCCUUACAUUUAUGGUCAGUUCAUUUUUGACAAGGUUGCCAAGAUAAUUUAAUGAAGAAUAGUCUGUCUUUUUCCACUAAAAAGUGCUGGGAAAACUGGAUAGUUAAAUUCAAAAGAAAGACUCUGGGCCCCUACCUCACAUCAUAUAAAUUAAAAUGGAUCGUAGACUGUAAGAGCGAAAAUGAUACAAAUCUUAGACGAAAACAUAGGAGUUAAUUUUUCUCACCUUGGAUUAGACUGAGGCUUAUUAGAUUCAACCCCAGAAGUACAAGUAAUCAAUUGCACUUCAUCAAAAUUUAAAACUUUUGUGCUUCAAAAGACAACACCAAGAAAGUGGGGUUAAAAACCCCAAAGAAUUGGGGAAGAUUUAUGGAAAUCAUAUAUUUGAUAGAGAUUUCUUCAUAAAGAACAUAUAAAGAAUUCUUAAAACUCAAAGACAAAAUGACAACCGAAUUAAAAAUGGUCAAAGGAUUUGAACACACCAUUUCUCUAAAGAAGAUAUACAAAUGGCCAAUAAGCACAUAAAAGGACGCUCAAAAUCACUAGCUAUCAGGAAAAUGCAAAUCAAAACCACACUGAGAUACCACUUCAUACCCAGUAGGAUGACUAAAAUAAAAAAGAAUAUAACAAAUGUUGGUGCAGAUACAGAGAAAUUGGAACCCUCAUAUGCUGCUGGGGGGAUUGUAAAAUGGUGCGGCUACUUUGGAAAACAGUUUUUAAUUCCUCAAAAUGUGAAACGUGAAUUACCAUAUGACCCAGCAAUUACACUCCUUGGUAUGUACCCAAGAGGAACAAAACAAACAUCCAUGUAAAACCUGUCCAUGAAAAUCACAGCAGCGGCAUUCAUAAUAGUCAAUAAAAUGGUAACACCCUACCUGCAUCAAAAUACUGUGGUAAUGAAUGAAAAAACAAUGUGCUAUUACCCUCACAAUGGAUAUCAAUCACUCACAAAAGAGAAUGAGGUACUAACACAUGGUUGAACUUGAUGAACCUUGAAAACAUUAGGCUAAGUUAAAAAAGCUGUACACAAACCCCACAUAUUAUGUGAUUCCAUGUAUAUGAAAUAGAAUAGACAAAUAUACGAAGACAGACAGAUUGGUGGUUGCCAGGGGCUGGGAGGAGAGAAGAAUGGGCAGAUACUGAUAAAGGGUAUGUGGAUGAUGAAAAUACUCAAAUUAUUUGGGAAGUGAUUAAAUAUUCGAAAAUUAGAUGGUGGUGAUGGUUGCACAACUUUGUAACUAUUCUAAAACCCAUUAAAAACUGUACCAUUUAAAGUGUCGAA